rnacentral:tRNA from 1 species
ACCUGGCUGGCUCAGUCCAUAGAGCAUGUGACUCUUGAUCUCAGGGUCAUGAGUUCGAGCCCCAUGUUGGAUG